AAAAUUUAUGCUUUGCAAAAUAAACUUGGAGUUUAGGACAAUAAUUAAAGUUUUUCCCCCGACUUGUAAAAAUAAAUGUUGUAAAAUAUUCAAAAUUACAGAGAACUAUAAAAGAAGAAAAUAGUUGACCUUUGUUAGAUUUUAAUUGUAAAGCAGACAUUGUUUUUGUGAAAUGAUUUCAGGUAAUUAGGGUUUCUGUGUAGUCAGUGAUAUUUGUUUCAAAACAUUGGCCAAUUGCUACUGAUUUAUACUGUUAACACAUCUGCUAAUAUUACAUAGUAAGGGUGUUGAGUGUUAGAAUGAAGGAGAAAAUGUUUUUAAGAUGCAAGACUCAAAGUAUGCUUUGUGAUUUUAAACAUUAAGUAUCAAGGUCUAUGGUAUUGGAAGCUAUAGAAUCUAUAGCUUUUUAUAUGUAUGAUGGAGAUGAAGUGUGAUUUGCUGAAAGCAAAAUAUUUUUUUGUUUUAGAUAAUACUACUUAUCAUAAAGGAACCUGAGAAGUGGAAUUAUGAUACUUGAAUCUGAGUGCGUUGCUUUUGGAGCAGGACAAGUGGGAGUGCGAAACAGUCUUCAGCUAUCUCUUGGAAACCAAGAAACCCAGAAUCGGUGAAAGCUUGAUGAGUACUGCCAAAGAAGGUUAAUUUUUAAGACAGCCAACUUGGAUAAAGUCCAAGAUACAAUUGUGCAAACUGUCAGCCAGAGGCAAUCCUUUUGACUUGUAGAACACAGACAGGGCUGCUUCACCUGGAGCUGAUCUGCCAGGUAAGAAAGGCACAUGGUGUCAACCCCACAGGGCAGAGUCCUUCCACCGGCCUGCCUAGAGG